CGCAAGCCGAAACGAGCGGAGGAGGCAGGCGAGGCCACGGCCCACCGUCAGAUCACACACACACACACACACACACACACGAACACGCACUCCUCAGACGCGCAUUCAUGGCACGGGGAGUAACGGGCGAUGCCGCGGGAAGCAGCGCCGCCGCCGAGCGUGGGAGCGGCGCGGAGCAGGGGAGCGGGGCCCCCGCGCCGGCUCAGGUUCCGACGUGGCAGCGGGUGCGGAGGGCCGGGCAGGGGGCGGUGGCGCACGCGCUGCUGCUCUGCUUCACCGCGCUCCUCGCGCUCAAGCUCGACGGGGUCGUCUCACUGUCCUGGUGGGUGCUUUUCAUCCCUCUAUGGUUGUUCCAUGCUGUUGCUGCUCGAUGUCGAUUCUCGUUACCUGCUCCAUCAUCAUCUGAAAGUUGUCAACGGGUGCCAUGCCAUUCCAUUGUCGCCACACCUUUGCUAGUUGCUUUUGAGCUGCUUCUCUGUGUUUGCCUGGAAGGCCUCAAUGGUCAUGGCGAACCAUUCAUAGAUUUAAAGCUUGUCUUCCUUCCACUCUUGACUUUGGAAAUCAUUACACUGGUUGACAAUUUCAGGAUGUGUGGUGCUCUAAUGCCUGGACAUGGAGAAACUAUAACUGAAGAAGCAAUUUGGGAGAGGCUUCCUGUAAGAAUCUUAAGAUAUUUCUGGGUUGCAAUUUCCAUGGUGUUUCUACUAGCGGCUACUUCACUCAUGCUUCUGAAGUUAUGUGGUGAUGCAGUUACUCUGGGAUGGUGGGAUUUAUUCAUUAAUUUUUGGAUUUCCCAGUGCUUUGCUUUUCUGGUAUGCACAAGAUGGUCAAAUCCAAUGGACAUUGGUGGCCCUGUAUUGAUAAUUCCUAUAAUAGUUUUCCAAGUUCUUCUUUGUAUGCGCUUGGAGGGUACUCCAUCUAAUGCUCAUUUUAUCCCAAUGCGAGCUAUUUUUCUGCCCAUAGUUUUGCUACAAAUGGCUGCUGUAUCUUUUGCUGUUUGGAGAUUCUUCGACAGGCUUCUUACUAAACUUCAAGAUGGAAUUAUCAGUCAAGGACAUAUUUCUGUGUCCUUAAGAGUUGAUGAGCUGUUUAUGAUGAUACAAUAUGGUUCAAGGUUUUAUAUGCUCUCUAGCUCCUCCACUGGUGGUCUAUUGAUGAAGAUAGCCAAGAGGAACAGGCUCACUUAUGCUAUGCAAAUAAUACUGGCUAUAGUACCUUUUGCAGUUAUCCACCAGAGGUGGUAAAAGAGAUGCCAAAGAAAGUUCUUGUCAAAGAGGUACAGAGACUUCAACUAGCCUUGGAAGAGCAAACUGAAAUGGCAAAUCAUAGCCAACAGCUGUGUGAUAGGCUAAAAAAUGAACGGAUCUUGUGCCGAAUUUGCUUUGAAAGAGAUAUCCGCAUUGUUCUGCUUCCUUGCCGCCAUCAUGUUCUCUGCGAGCCUUGCUCUAACAAGUGCCAGUCAUGCCCAAUUUGCCGAUUGACCAUUGAGAGCAGGUUAUCUGUUUAUGAUGCAGUGCUGUCGGCCAAUCCAUUUUGUGAUGCAGUUUAGAAGUUCCCAUGUUGGCAGCAGUUCUAGGGUACCGACUUCUGGUGUCGGCAAAGAUGGCCCACAAGAUUCCUAGCCAAUCCAUUUUGUGAUGCAGUUUAGAAGUUCCCAUGUUGGCAGCAGUUCUAGGGUACCGACUUCUGGUGUCGGCAAAGAUGGCCCACAAGAUUCCUAGCAGAGGAAGAUAAGUAGUGAAAUUCAUGGUACGAAGUUUGGAAGAAAGUGAGGAUAAGUCUCCUAUUGUCAGAUUGGAGACAAGAAAAAUCAAAAGCCACACUGUACAUUCUUCUGCAGUGAUAUGACACAAAGGAAACAGGGAAGUAUAUGAGGUCUUCAUUUCUUGGAUUCUUGCUCACAUAUAGCAUAGCCGUCUUUGAUUAGUUCCCCAGAAUUUAAAGAUGAACAGAGGAACCAAGAAAACAUGUGCAAACUGGAACUUCAGGUUGUUAUCGGAUGGUCUUUGGCAUUCAGGGAAGAAGCAAAUUUCAAUCUGUUCUGCUUUGACGAGUUUAUGAAGGAUUGAAGGCAAACAAUAAUGGUGCCAUCUUCCCCAAUGGAGUUUUGACGUGCAAAAAGCUUACAUCCAUAUGUACAGAUGCGACAAUAAUGUCUCUGUCAAUUUUAUCUCCAAGGUAUAAGAGCAUUGAGCUUUCUCCUGGUCAUGUCAAAUAAUGAGAGCGUGAGCAUCUAUUGUAUGCGCUUGUCGACCUCAUGCGACUUUCCCCACCAUACCAGAACAUCACUUUUGCAGUACGAGAAUUGGCUCUCAAGUCAACAAUUGUGUCCAGCCACAACCUCACACCUCUUUUGUCAUAUUGCUAUGAUUUCGCAUGUCUUGUGGCCUUCGAUGCUCCGGUACCCUUUGGAGAUCCCUGCCUGGCAUCAUAAGGACAUCCAAGAUUGUGUGCUGGUGCCGAUAUUUGCCAGGAAGUUGCUAGGUGCAUGCUCCGCAUGAUAUGCAAGGAUUGGUCAUUCCAUUUUUGUCAUCCUUAUCCCUGAUGCCUUCAUGUGUAGGUCACCUUUGUUGCUGUAGUGCUGCUUUUGCUACCUCUGUGUGAUGAUAUGUGUCCAGAAUGUGAUGGACAGAUGGUGGCAGUGCUGAUAAGCACGUUUUCUUGGUUACACACAUCCGAUGAAUCAAGGGUUUCUCAACUAUUUUUGAAGAAGUCAGGAAGCAGUCUUUGCUGGUAAACUUACAACCGGUUAUUUUCAAGGCUUUCUUUUUUAUUUUGCAUCUGUUUAGGAUGUGGGUAUCUGAGCUGACUAUCCAAACUAGGUUGUUCACAGCUGACUCUGCGUUGCCGGUUGAGAGAGAAUGUUUUUGCGCGAUAAUAAUGUAAUGUUAUUGUUCGGUCUUCGGAUUUCGAGAUGAAAUAAAUAGAGAAACAAAAACAGCCAGCCCUUUUAUUUUCAGGGCUGAUGCAUGUGAUCCAUUA